rnacentral:rRNA from 1 species
AUUGAACGCUGGCGGCAUGCCUUACACAUGCAAGUCGAACGGUAACAGGUCUUCGGAUGCUGACGAGUGGCGAACGGGUGAGUAAUACAUCGGAACGUGCCCGAUCGUGGGGGAUAACGGAGCGAAAGCUUUGCUAAUACCGCAUACGAUCUACGGAUGAAAGCAGGGGACCGCAAGGCCUUGCGCGGACGGAGCGGCCGAUGGCAGAUUCGGUAGUUGGUGGGAUAAAAGCUUACCAAGCCGACGUUCUGUAGCGGGUCUGAGAGGACGACCAGCCACACUGGGACGGAGACACGGCCCAGACUCCUACGGGAGGCAGGAGUGGGGAAUUUUGGACAAUGGGCGCAAGCCUGAUCCAGCCAUGCCGCGUGCAGGAUGAAGGCCUUCGGGUUGUAAACUGCUUUUGUACGGAACGAAAAGACUCUGGUUAAUACCUGGGGUCCAUGACGGUACCGUAAGAAUAAGCACCGGCUAACUACGUGCCAGCCGCCGCGGUAACAC